CGCGAGAGGUGACAUGAAUUUCCUCACGCGCGCGAGCAGAAAUAUGAAUAUUUAAAUUAUCUCCUCCCACUGGUUAGCAUAACAAAUGAAGCGGAAGUUUGUUUAGUCCAUAAUAGUCAAACACAGAGAGCUCAGAUCUCAAUUGUUGAUAGACUAUCGUUGCUACGGUGACUGCAACCGACCACCUUUGAAACACAACUGAAACGCAACUCACGGCUGCUGCUGACAAGGGCAUUCACAUAUUUAUUCGUAAAACCAUUUUAUUUUUGGUGGAUGAAAACAUUGUGUCAAUAUGCUAUGUCUAUGUUCGCCUUAUUCACCCGGAACGUUCUAAAGACGUUGAGGGGUACACUUCAGGGGUACAUUCGGCAACGCACCAGCUGUCAUGGCGCCUCACUUGCUGUGUUGUGUGCCCAAAUGUUCGUCCUCAAAGAGAAAAAAAAUCCUACCGUGGACAGACUUUCCACCGUUUCCCCAAAGAGCAGGCACUUCGCAGUGGAUGUAUAAAUCACAUCUAGAGGGGUCCUGGUCCAUAUUUCAAGAUCAACGCUGAGACCAAGGUUUGCUCUGAGCACUUUGAGAAGCAGUGUUUUGUAAAGACCACCCGUGUUAUCACAAAGCUUAUAAAGGAUGCUGUGCCAACUUUCGCCUGGACUUCAGAGAGGCCAAAGAGGAGAAUCAUCAUUCGCAGACCGAGAGAUGAUGACCCAUUCCUGAAGUUGGACGCCAGAAUGCAGGAAGGUGCUGUUUAAGAGCCUAGGCGGUGGAAGAAGCACUUGCAGGUAUGCUACCGACCAGGCUCCUCAACAUCAAUCCGAGACGGAAGAUGAAACGGGAUGAAGCAGUUAGAUUGAGGAUAACGUACCUCAACAGUCUUCUUCAGAUUCUCUACAAACACAGUCUGAGUGGUGAUUAGAACAUGCCUGGCAUCCAAGGGUGUGGCCAGUUUGUUAACCCUUUACACUCUACACUUUACAAUUAGAAUUAUUGUACACUGUCUGGACAAGAUGUAGAAUACUACUGAGCGACAGUGAUAUGUCAUGUUCUUAAUACUGUUAUAUCCUGUCAUUACAGACAAGGCGGCCGGAAACGUUGAUGACCUCAAUGACACUGGCUAG